rnacentral:rRNA from 1 species
CCUACGGGGUGCUGCAGUGAGGAAUAUUGGUCAAUGGGCGAGAGCCUGAACCAGCCAAGUCGCGUGAAGGAUGACGGCCCUACGGGUUGUAAACUUCUUUUGUCAGGGAGCAAUUUGGUCCACGCGUGGGCUUAGCGAGAGUACCUGAAGAAAAAGCAUCGGCUAACUCCGUGCCAGCAGCCGCGGUAAUACGGAGGAUGCGAGCGUUAUCCGGAUUUAUUGGGUUUAAAGGGUGCGUAGGCGGAAUAUCAAGUCAGCGGUAAAAAUUCGGGGCUCAACCCCGUCGUGCCGUUGAAACUGAUGGUCUUGAGUGGGCGAGAAGUAUGCGGAAUGCGUGGUGUAGCGGUGAAAUGCAUAGAUAUCACGCAGAACUCCGAUUGCGAAGGCAGCAUACCGGCGCCCAACUGACGCUGAAGCACGAAAGCGUGGGUAUCGAACAGGAUUAGAUACCCGUGUAGUC